UACGAAGGGGGCUAGCGUUGCUCGGAAUCACUGGGCGUAAAGCGCACGUAGGCGGAUUGCUAAGUCAGGGGUGAAGUCCUGGAGCUCAACUCCAGAACUGCCUUUGAUACUGGCGAUCUUGAGUUCGGGAGAGGUGAGUGGAACUCCGAGUGUAGAGGUGAAAUUCGUAGAUAUUCGGAAGAACACCAGUGGCGAAGGCGGCUCACUGGCCCGAUACUGACGCUGAGGUGCGAAAGCGUGGGGAGCAAACAGG
rnacentral:rRNA from 1 species